rnacentral:misc_RNA from 1 species
GAUGAAGAACGUAGCGAAAUGCGAUAAGUAGUGUGAAUUGCAGAAUUCAGUGAAUCAUCGAAUCUUUGAACGCACAUUGCGCCCCUUGGUAUCCCGAGGGGCAUGCCUGUUCGAGCGUCAUUUCAACCAUCAAGCCCCCGGCUUGUGUUGGGGACCUGCGGCUGCCGCAGGCCCUGAAAACCAGUGGCGGGCUCGCUGUCACACCGAGCGUAGUAGAUUUUCAUCUCGCUCAGGGCGUGCUGCGGGUUCCGGCCGUAAAAAGCCUUAUUUACCCAAGGUUGACCUCGGAUCAGGUAGGAAGACCCGCUGAACUUAAGCAUAUCAAUAAGCGGAGGA